rnacentral:rRNA from 1 species
AUUGAACGCUGGCGGCAGGCCUAACACAUGCAAGUCGAGCGGAUGAAGGGAGCUUGCUCCUGGAUUCAGCGGCGGACGGGUGAGUAAUGCCUAGGAAUCUGCCUGGUAGUGGGGGAUAACGUCCGGAAACGGGCGCUAAUACCGCAUACGUCCUGAGGGAGAAAGUGGGGGAUCUUCGGACCUCACGCUAUCAGAUGAGCCUAGGUCGGAUUAGCUAGGUGGUGGGGUAAAGGCCUACCAAGGCGACGAUCCGUAACUGGUCUGAGAGGAUGAUCAGUCACACUGGAACUGAGACACGGUCCAGACUACUACGGGAGGCAGCAGUGGGGAAUAUUGGACAAUGGGCGAAAGCCUGAUCCAGCCAUGCCGCGUGUGUGAAGAAGGUCUUCGGAUUGUAAAGCACUUUAAGUUGGGAGGAAGGGCAGUAAGUUAAUACCUUGCUGUUUUGACGGUACCAACAGAAUAAGCACCGGCUAACUUCGUG